rnacentral:rRNA from 1 species
AGAGUUUGAUCCUGGCUCAGGACGAACGCUGGCGGCGUGCUUAACACAUGCAAGUCGAACGAGACGAUUGAAAGCUUGCUUUUGAAAGUCGAGUGGCAAACGGGUGAGUAACGCGUAGACAACCUGCCGUAAAGAUGGGGACAACAGUCCGAAAGGACUGCUAAUACCGAAUGUUGUGGAACUUCCGCAUGGGGGCUCCACUAAAGAUGGCCUCUACUUGUAAGCUAUCGCUUUACGAUGGGUCUGCGUCUGAUUAGCUAGUUGGCGGGGUACGGNUUNCNAGGCGACNAUCAGUAGCCNGUCCGAGAGGAG